rnacentral:rRNA from 1 species
GACGAACGCUGGCGGCAUGCCUUACACAUGCAAGUCGAACGGCAGCGGGGGAGAAGCUUGCUUUUCCUGCCGGCGAGUGGCGAACGAGUGAGUAAUACAUCGGAACGAGCCCUGUAGUGGGGGAUAACUAGUCGAAAGAUUAGCUAAUACCGCAUACGACCUGAGGGUGAAAGUGGGGGACCGCAAGGCCUCAUGCUAUAGGAGCGGCCGGUGUCUGAUUAGCUAGUGGGUGGGGUAAAGGCCUACCAAGGCGACGAUCAGUAGCUGGUCUGAGAGGACGAGCAGCCACGCUGGGACCGAGACACGGCCCAGACUCCUACGGGAGGCAGCAGUGGGGAAUUUUGGACAAUGGGCGAAAGCCUGAUCCAGCAAUGCCGCGUGUGUGAAGAAGGCCUUCGGGUUGUAAAGCACUUUUGCCCGGAAAGAAAUGGCUCCGGUUAAUACCUGGGGUCGAUGACGGUACCGGAAGAAUAAGGACCGGCUAACUACGUGCCAGCAGCCGCGGUAACAC